UGACCAGUCAUGCUCUGGCUAUAUUCCAGGUCUCAGUUGGUCCUGGGUAUAACCAAAGCCUCACUGUUCA
rfam:Neotoma lepida isolate 417 scaffold_24080, whole genome shotgun sequence.